rnacentral:rRNA from 1 species
UACGUAGGGACCGAGCGUUGUCCGGAAUCAUUGGGCGUAAAGAGCGUGUAGGCGGCCCCUUAAGUCCUGCGUGAAAUCCUGCGGCUCAACCCCGAGACGUCGGUGGAAACCACCUGGCUAGAGUCCGGAAGAGGAGAGUGGAAUUCCUGGUGUAGCGGUGAAAUGCGCAGAUAUCAGGAAGAAUAUCCGUGGCGAAGGCGGCUCUCUGGUACGGCACUGACGCUGAGACGCGAAAGCGUGGGGAGCGAACAGG